GUCCACUGCUGAACAUAUGCCUCUUUCAUGGAUUUCCAUGUUGUUCUGUAAUCGGCGGUUCUAUGCCAGGUCGGCCCUGCCGUCUUUCUGAUAUCGUCCGACCAUCUGGCUCGUGGUUUUCCGUCACCUCGGCUUCCCAGUCGAGGUCUCCAGAACAGUACUCGCUGGCCCCAUCGGUCAUCAUCCCUGCGACAUAUAUGGCCGGCCCAUUCCCACUUCAGCUGCGCAAUUCUUUUGGCGAUGUCGGUAACUUUUGUGAGUUGGCGAAUGUCCACCACAUUCUGAAUUCUGUCUUGAAUGGAUAUCCCGAGCAUCACGCGCUCCAAAGCUCUCUGUGCGACUUUUAACUGGCGGACCCUUCCGACAGUCAACGUCCAUGUCUCGCAUGCGUAGGACAUUACUGGGAGGACGCAUUGAUUAUAAACCCUGGUUUUCAGUGUGCGGGAUUUUGGACCUGAAAACAUCGCCCAACUUAACUUGCCAAAUGCGCCCUAUCCCAACUGAAUGCGCCUACUAAUUUCAGCAUCCAAGGGGUUACCGUCUAGCGUUAUUUUCUGACCCAAAUAUACAUAAUCGCUUACUCUCGCCAUCGUUUUGCCUUCCAAUGAAAUGGUUGCCUUUCCAGCAAUGCUCAUCAGCUUUGUUUUUUCCAUGUCCAUUUUUAGACCAACUUGCAUCGAUGCCUGGCUUAGAGCAUUUGUUCGAAAUCAUCAGGUGUCUCUGCGAGUAGAACGAUGUCGUCAGCAAACCGUAGGUGGUAUAAGUACUUUCCAUCUAUUUUGAUACCUAUGCCGUCCCAGUUGCGGUGUUUAAAUACGUCUUCUAGUGCACUUGUGAAAAGCUUUGGAGAUAUUACGUCACCUUUGGAGAUAUUACAAACAUAAUACCUACUAAUGUGCAGAUUUAAAAUAUCUGUGCAUAUUUUUUUACAGUAAAUUCCAUUGAGGGCUAAUUAAGAUAGAUAUAAAAUAAAAAAACAACACAAUUGCUAAAGGACAUAAUACAUAAACGAAGUAUUACAAUCAACGUCAAAUGCAUAUAUCCAUUUUAUACUUUAUUAUAAUGGUAUAAAGUCUAAAAUUGGAAACACGAGAUUGAUGUCGUCAGAGGCCCUACCGCGAACAACGAAGUUCGCAAAUUGCGGGCAUCUCUUUCUUUUACUCCAGUAAAAGCGUAAUUAGAGUGACAGGGAACGGUGCCCGCGAUUUGCGAACUUCGGUGUUCGCGGUAGGCCCUCUAAACCCAGUCAUAUAGUUCGUGUCAUCCAUGAUGAUGCGCAGAUUUGUCAAAUCUAACCUUUAAUAAAAUAAUAUUACGAGUGAAGGCACGCAUCGUCGUGAAUGACACGAUCUAUAACACCUGUUCAAAUUCAGGGGGUAUAAAAGAUGUGAAACAUGUUGGUAUGACUAACUAUUCGAGUUAAUUAACUACACAAUGUUGUACAAAUUUAUGCUCUUGGUGGUGCUUUUUAUUUUGAGUACCCAAAUAACUUUUCUGAAUGCUGCCCCAGCCUCACAUUACCACAAUGCAUUCCAAUCUGCAGUGGAGUUUCCAGUUUGUACCAUAUAAAAACUAUGUGUAAUAAAUAAUUUCAACAUUUC